GCAAGUCGAACGGUAACAGGAAGAAGCUUGCUUCUUUGCUGACGAGUGGCGGACGGGUGAGUAAUGUCUGGGAAACUGCCUGAUGGAGGGGGAUAACUACUGGAAACGGUAGCUAAUACCGCAUAACGUCGCAAGACCAAAGAGGGGGACCUUCGGGCCUCUUGCCAUCGGAUGUGCCCAGAUGGGAUUAGCUAGUAGGUGGGGUAACGGCUCACCUAGGCGACGAUCCCUAGCUGGUCUGAGAGGAUGACCAGCCACACUGGAACUGAGACACGGUCCAGACUCCUACGGGAGGCAGCAGUGGGGAAUAUUGCACAAUGGGCGCAAGCCUGAUGCAGCCAUGCCGCGUGUAUGAAGAAGGCCUUAGGGUUGUAAAGUACUUUCAGCGGGGAGGAAGGGAGUAAAGUUAAUACCUUUGCUCAUUGACGUUACCCGCAGAAGAAGCACCGGCUAACUCCGUGCCAGCAGCCGCGGUAAUACGGAGGGUGCAAGCGUUAAUCGGAAUUACUGGGCGUAAAGCGCACGCAGGCGGUUUGUUAAGUCAGAUGUGAAAUCCCCGGGCUCAACCUGGGAACUGCAUCUGAUACUGGCAAGCUUGAGUCUCGUAGAGGGGGGUAGAAUUCCAGGUGUAGCGGUGAAAUGCGUAGAGAUCUGGAGGAAUACCGGUGGCGAAGGCGGCCCCUGGACGAAGACUGACGCUCAGGUGCGAGCGUGGGGAGCAAACAGG
rnacentral:rRNA from 1 species